rnacentral:rRNA from 1 species
UACGUAGGGUGCAAGCAUUAAUCGGAAUUAUUGGGCGUAAAGGGCGCGUAGGCGGAUGAGAAAGUCAGAUGUGAAAUUCCGGGGCUCAACCUCGGAGCUGCAUUUGAAACUCCUUAUCUAGAGGGUUGACGGAGAAAACGGAAUUCCACGUGUAGCGGUGAAAUGCGUAGAUAUGUGGAAGAACACCAGUGGCGAAGGCGGUUUUCUAGUUAAUACCUGACGCUGAGGCGCGAGAGCAAGGGGAGCAAACAGG